rnacentral:rRNA from 1 species
UGGGGAAUUUUGGACAAUGGGCGAAAGCCUGAUCCAGCAAUGCCGCGUGUGUGAAGAAGGCCUUCGGGUUGUAAAGCACUUUUGGCAGGAAAGAAAUAGUGCGUGCUAAUACCAUGCGCGAAUGACGGUACCUGCAGAAUAAGCACCGGCUAACUACGUGCCAGCAGCCGCGGUAAGACGUAGGGUGCGAGCGUUAAUCGGAAUUACUGGGCGUAAAGAGUGCGUAGGCGGUUUUGUAAGACAGGUGUGAAAUCCCCGGGCUCAACCUGGGAACUGCACUUGUGACUGCAAGGCUAGAGUGUGUCAGAGGGAGGUGGAAUUCCGCGUGUAGCAGUGAAAUGCGUAGAGAUGCGGAGGAACACCGAUGGCGAAGGCAGCCUCCUGGGAUAACACUGACGCUCAGGCACGAAAGCGUGGGGAGCAAACA